rnacentral:rRNA from 1 species
AGCAGCCGCGGUAAUUCCAGCUCCAAUAGCGUAUAUUAAAGUUGUUGCAGUUAAAAAGCUCGUAGUUGAAUUUCGGGGUUCAUCCGUUGGUCGGGCUUUUUGGUCUGUACUGGCGUGAUGGAUUCCUACCUUCUGAAUAACCAGCAUGUCAUUAAUUUGGUGCGUUGGGGAAGCAGGACUGUUACCUUGAAAAAAUUAGAGUGCUUAAAGCAGGCUAUCGCCUGAAUACAUUAGCAUGGAAUAAUGAAAUAGGACGGCAUGGUUCUAUUUUGUUGGUUUCUAGGAUCACUGUAAUGAUUAAUAGGGAUAGUUGGGGGGCAUUAGUAUUCAAUUGUCGGAGGUGAAAUUCUUGGAUUUAUUGAAGACUAACUUCUGCGAAAGCAUUUGCCAAGGAUGUUUUCAUUAAUCAAGAACGAAAGUUAGGGGAUCGAAGACGAUCAGAUACCGUCGUAGUCUUAACCAUAAACUAUGCCGACUAGGGAUCGGACGAUGUUAAUUUUUUAAUGACUCGUUCGGCGCC